GAUGAACGCUAGCGACAGGCUUAACACAUGCAAGUCGAGGGGUAACAGGGUAGCAAUACCGCUGACGACCGGCGCACGGGUGAGUAACGCGUAUGCAACCUGCCUAUAACUGGGGAAUAGCUCCCUGAAAGGGGAAUUAACACCGCAUAACACUAUUGAUUCGCAUGGAUUGGUAGUUAAAUGUAGCGAUACAGGUUAUAGAUGGGCAUGCGUGACAUUAGCUAGUUGGUGAGGUAACGGCUCACCAAGGCUACGAUGUCUAGGGGUUCUGAGAGGAAGGUCCCCCACACUGGUACUGAGACACGGACCAGACUCCUACGGGAGGCAGCAGUGAGGAAUAUUGGACAAUGGGCGCAAGCCUGAUCCAGCCAUGCCGCGUGAGUGAAGAAGGUCUUCGGAUUGUAAAGCUCUUUUACCAGGGACGAUAAUGACGGUACCUGGAGAAUAAGCCCCGGCAAACUUCGUG
rnacentral:rRNA from 1 species